CCGGAGACGUAGCCGAUGGCGCGGUUGCCGAUCGGGGCGGCCAGCGUGCUCCACUUGUCGAUCAGGCGGGUCAUGUCCGGCGCCUUCGGG
rnacentral:tRNA from 1 species